CUGAUUUGGGAUUUUGCAGUAAUGAUAUUUCUGUUCUAAUUUUUGGAUGCCUGAUGAUGGAAAACUCAUUUUCUGAGCGGUUACGCGGGUUUUUUUUACGAGCUUUUUGUAUCAUUUUUGCUGUACUAGUCUCUCUCUCUCUGUCUCUCUCUCUCUCUCUCUCUCUCUCUCUCUCUCUCUCUCUUUCUCUCUCUCUCUCUCUCUCUCUCUUUCUCUCUCUCUCUCUCUCUGUCUUUAUGGCUUGUACAGUUGAAGAUGUGAAAAGGCUCAUGGUGAUAAUCCCGCAGAUAACUGUCUAUGACCAGAUAUAGCUAUGAGAUCUGAAGGCUUGUUUACAGGCAUUUUCUUUUCCCUAACAGAUGUGUAUUGAAUUUUCAGUUGUUUUGUUUCGUUAAUACAACAACAACAACAAAACUUUUUUCCAUUAAAUGGGGUCGGCUAUAUGAAUCUUAUAACGUCAUUGCGCUCGGUUUUGUGUCAUGUCCUCCGUUAGAUCCAAGUACUCUAAGUUUUUUCUUAGGGUUUCUUCCAAAGUUUUCCUAGGUCUUCCUCUACCCCUUUGCCCUGAACCUCUAUCCCGUAGUCACAUCUUCGAACCGGAGCGUAAGUAGUCACAUCUUCGAACCGGAGCGUAAGUAGGCUUUCUUUGCACAUGUUCAAACCCAUUUUGUUUCGUUAAUGAUUUCUGUAUAUGUAUUCUUACUAUUGUAUUGAUCUGAAGUUUUCUGUUAAUAGAAAACCGAAGAGCACUUUUGGCGUUGCGGUAUUUUACCCCUAUAAAACGAUUAUUGGAGAUUGUUUUGGUUAGAAGAUGGUUAUAGAUUUUUGAUUUACUUUAUCUUCUGGUUCAAAUAUGAUGCCCAGUGAUGGGAGAAUUGAAAACCUAAACAGUGGUAAGCGUGGUUGAUUUUUCAUUAGCCCGUACUUACCACAAGCACCACCUCUCUCUCUCACUACAACAAACAACAACCAAGCCUUAUCCCACUAUACGUGGGAUUGGCUGGAUGAAUCAUUGAACGCCAUUACGCUGGGUUUUGUGCCAAGUCUUCCGUUAUCUCUGUCUCUCAUACAUAUAAAUAUAUACAUACAUUCACACAUACAUACGUUGGUGGUGCAUGGUGGAGUACGAAGGCUUUUGAGGAACGCCACUAGCCGUGAACUGUAUAUGACUCGUUCAAAGGUGUGAGAUCUGAGGGCACGAACCUUUGAAGUAGUGAUGCUUGUCAAGUUAUUUUUCAAGGUUAGAGCACGAGCCUUUGGUGUAGUAAUGUUGUGCUAAUGAUGAGUUAUACUCUGUAUCUAGCCUUUCUUUUUCUUGAAUUAUUUUGGAUCAUUACCAUGUUCUCUGAUAUAGUUUUUUUGCUGCUUCUGAAAGGUUUAUUUGCCUAAUGAUGGAAAACUCAUUUAUGGAGCGGUUCUGUGGAUUGUUAUUAGGAGCCUUUUCUAUCAUUUUCCUAUACUAGUCGCCGUCAUCAUCAACACCACCAUUCUUCUCUCUCUCUCUCUCUCUCUCUCUCUUCUCUCUCUCUUCUCUCUCCCUCUCUGGCUUGUAUGGUUGAAGAUGUGAAGAGGUUCAUAGUGAUAAUCCACAGUUAACUAGCAAUGACCAGAUAUAGCUAUGAGAUCUGAAGGCUCUUCAGUUUUUUGCCUUUUUUUAUUUAAGAUAUGCUUGUUGAAUUUUAAAUUAUUUUUGUUCCCUUAGUUAUUUAUAUAGGUCAUUGCAGCAUUGUAGACAUUAUUUUAGUUUAACUGGAGCACUUUUGGCAUUGCAGUAUUUGAUUACUAUAAAUGUACUGUUACUUUUGUAUUGAUUUCAAAUUUUCUGUUAAUAGAAAACCAAAGAGCACUUUCGGCAUUGCAGUAUUUUUGUAUAUAAUGCGAGCUCCCUUCAGACUCAAACCUGCUUGUACAUUGUUACAUAUAAAGCUAAUAAACUGUCGUUUGGAAAAAAAUUCACUCUUUCAUUGUUACUGAGUGCUUUUAUUUCCUACAAAGCUAUUAUUGUAGAUUGUUUUUGUUGAAAGAUGGUUAUACAUUUUGAUUAACUUUAUCUUCUGGUUCAAAUAUGAUGCCCAGUGAUGGAAAGUUGAAAACCUAAAUAGUGGUAAGGGUGGUUGAUUCUUCAUUAUCCCGUACUAACCACAAGCACCACCUCUCUCUCUCUCUCUCUCUCUCUCUCUCUCUCUCUAAUAUAUAUACAUACAUACAUACACACACAUACGUUGGUGCUGCAUUGUGGAGUAUGAAGGCUUUUGAGGAACGCCAUUGCCCAUGAACUGGAAAUGACUUAUUGCUAUG
rnacentral:lncRNA from 1 species